CCUACGGGAGGCAGCAGUAAGGAAUAUUGGUCAAUGGAGGCAACUCUGAACCAGCCAUGCCGCGUGCAGGAAGACGGCCCUAUGGGUUGUAAACUGCUUUUGAACUAGAGAAAACCUUGGUACGUGUACCGAGUUGAUAGUAUAGUUAGAAUAAGCAUCGGCUAACUUCGUGCCAGCAGCCGCGGUAAGACGAAGGAUGCAAGCGUUAUCCGGAUUCAUUGGGUUUGAAGGGUGCGUAGGCGGACUGAUAAGUCAGUGGUGAAAUCUCUCAGCUUAACUGAGAAACUGCCAUUGAUACUGUUAGUCUAAGAGUACAGAUGAUGUGGGCGGAAUAUGACAUGUAGUGGUGAAAUACUUAGAUAUGUCAUAGAACACCGAUUGCGAAGGCAGCUCACAAAACUGUAACUGACGCUGAGGCACGAAAGUGCGGGGAUCAAACAGGAUUAGAUACCCUGGUAGUCCGCACCGUAAACGANANAUAUCUGUGNGNUANGAGAGNAGCGACGAACGAGAAGAGAGUUAAGUUAAUACACCGUUAGGAGGACGCCGGCGACGGAGGAACGACGAAGGAAGUUAGACGGCGNGAGGACGNGCGACGGACGACACGAGGGAGGUAGG
rnacentral:rRNA from 1 species